UCAAAGUUCUUCCCCUACUUCUUCUCUAACGGCUAUCUUUCUCUCUCUGCUUUCUCGUCCUCUCCCCUUCUCUCAUCUUCUUCGUCUUCCUCAAAAUCGCCGAUUCACGGCCAUCUUCUUCUCCUACCCCUAACAGCGCCGGAUUUCUCAACUGUCGAUCGAGUGACAAUCAUGCCUGCCUGCUUGACAAAGCCUUUUCGGUCUACCAAUAAAGGAAAAACGAUUGCUGGUGACACGAAAGCUGUGCUCAACGCUCUUUUUCCUAUUCCACUGCACGUCGUGGUCUUUCCCUUGCUGGUUGGAUGACUACUAUGGACGAAGAGCACAACUACUUCCAGUCUCUGGUCGAUAAGUACCCAAGGAAGAGUUGCAGUGGGUAAAUCUUAAUGGCUGGCAGAAAAUUGGUUCGGGAUAUAUUACUCUCAAGACAAAGUAUUUUCUAUCAGUUUACUUCCCAUGGGCAUAAAUGAAACUGUGUUUCAAGAACAAGGUGCUGCUACAUCAUUCAAGGAAAUUCGUCGUAGAGGUCUUUCUCUUUACCAGAUUUCGUAGCUGAAGUUUAUGAAGUAAUCAAACCGGUGUUAACUUCUUAUAUAAAGGUAGAUUCCCAAACUUUGAAGAAACACUACAGUACUGAGGUAAUUGAAUGUUGUAAGGCAGAGCAUCGGGCUUACUAGAGCCAAGGUAUCUUCUUCGAUAACAAGGAAUAAAGGAAAAUGAAAUAUAACCAAACUUGGGAUCUUUGCAAGCAAGCUUCCA